AUUGAACGCUGGCGGAAUGCUUUACACAUGCAAGUCGAGCGGCAGCGCGGGGCAACCUGGCGGCGAGCGGCGAACGGGUGAGUAAUGCAUCGGAACAUGUCCAUGUCGUGGGGGAUAGCCCGGCGAAAGCCGGAUUAAUACCGCAUACGCUCGGGAGAGGAAAGCCGGGGACCGCAAGGCCUGGCGCGAUUGGGUUGGCCGAUGUCCGAUUAGCUAGUUGGUGAGGUAAAGGCUUACCAAGGCGAUGAUCGGUAGCUGGUCUGAGAGGAUGAUCAGCCACACUGGGACUGAGACACGGCCCAGACUCCUACGGGAGGCAGCAGUGGGGAAUUUUGGACAAUGGGCGAAAGCCUGAUCCAGCAAUGCCGCGUGCAGGAAGAAGGCCUUCGGGUUGUAAACUGCUUUUGUACGGAGCGAAAAGGUCUCCUCUAAUACAGGGGGCUCAUGACGGUACCGUAAGAAUAAGCACCGGCUAACUACGUGCCAGCCGCCGCAGUAA
rnacentral:rRNA from 1 species